UACGUAGGUGGCAAGCGUUGUCCGGAUUUACUGGGCGUAAAGAGCGCGCAGGCGGUCGGCCAAGUCGAGUGUGAAAGCCCCCGGCUCAACUGGGGAGGGUCAUUCGAUACUGGUCGACUCGAAGGCAGGAGAGGGAAGCGGAAUUCCCGGUGUAGUGGUGAAAUGCGUAGAUAUCCUUAGGAACUCCGGUGGCGAAGGCGGCACGCUGGACCUCUUCUGACGCUGAGGCGCGAAAGCCAGGGGAGCAAACGGG
rnacentral:rRNA from 1 species